UACGUAGGGGGCAAGCGUUACUCGGAAUUACUGGGCGUAAAGCGUGCGCAGGCGGACGAGAAAGUCAGAGGUGAAAUCCCACGGCUCAACCGUGGAACUGCCUCAGAUACUGACGGCCUCGAGGGAGGUAGGGGCGAGCGGAACGGGUGGUGGAGCGGUGAAAUGCGUUGAUAUCACUCGGAACUCCGGUGGCGAAAGCGGCUCGCUGGACCUUUUCUGACGCUGAGGCGCGAAAGCUAGGGGAGCAAACGGG
rnacentral:rRNA from 1 species